rnacentral:rRNA from 1 species
UUAUGGCUCAGGAUGAACGCUAGCGACAGGCCUAACACAUGCAAGUCGAGGGGCAGCGCGGAGUAGCAAUACUUGGCGGCGACCGGCGCACGGGUGAGUAACACGUAUGCAACCAACCCAUAACAGGGGGGAUAACCCGGAGAAAUCCGGACUAAUACCGCAUAAGACCACGAUAUCGCAUGAUAUAGAGGUCAAAUAUUUAUAGGUUAUGGACGGGCAUGCGUCUGAUUAGCUGGUUGGCGGGGUAACGGCCCACCAAGGCAUCGAUCAGUAGGGGUUCUGAGAGGAAGGUCCCCCACAUUGGAACUGAGACACGGUCCAAACUCCUACGGGAGGCAGCAGUGAGGAAUAUUGGUCAAUGGGCGAAAGCCUGAACCAGCCAUGUCGCGUGAAGGAUGAAAGGUCCUAUGGAUUGUAAACUUCUUUUGCAGGAGGGUAAAGUGAGCUACGUGUAGUUCAUUGCAAGUAUCCUGCGAAUAAGCAUCGGCUAACUCCGUGCCAGCAGCUGC